UGGGAGUUAGUUUAAAGAAAACAAGUGAUUUCGACUCACUAACUUCUAGGAUAAUCUAGAACUUCCUU
rnacentral:tRNA from 1 species